GCACCGUCUUCCCAAGACCCAUCUGGACCGGCCAAAUCAACACACAGCGGAGGGGGAGAAAAACAAGUCAAUCGGGCACCGACUCUAUGGAUGGAUACUGUCUAAAUAAUGGAAAGUCAGCUAUCAGGACUACAGGUCACUGGUGAUGCAGGUCUCAUUUUUAAAUUAUACUGGACCCGGUGUCUCCCCUCAGAUUACAGGCUCAGCAGUGCUCUUAACUGUCACAUUGAUGCCAAUUGACUGAGGUAGCUGUCCACACGGUGCGGCGAGAGCCAAUUGACUCCUGACCCACCCGUGCAACAAAGCAGUGCCUCCCAGUGUUCCUGAAUCAAUAUGGCCGCUCCGCAUCACAGCAGCACCGCUCAGAUUGGCUCCCCCUGCGCUGACCUUCCUGAGAACCCGAGUGUACAUCGACUGGUCGGGUUAGGAAACGGGCAAGUCCCGGCCCGUUCCUGCAGCUAAUGCUCGACACAGCUAAACACUUGCGGACUUGAGGGCAACUGGGAAACUUCCCGUGGACUGGUAAUUGUUUACAGAGAUACAACCUGGGCUCUAUCUGACCUCCUAAAUGUAGAAUAUAUUCACACGUACUCAUCACUUUUUACUCACCUCUUGAGCCAGUUUUUCUUUUACUUUAAAGCUUCAUUAGGCAAAUUAUCUAUGUAAAAAUGUCAUCUUAUUAGACUAAAUCACAAACUAUUGGUACAAUGGAGAGGAAUGUAUUAUACAAUAGAUUUGUUCUGUUUGCCCAGAUGAUUUUCACUUCAUUAUCAGAAGGGGAAAAAGCAAAACAAAGAAGUGACCAAAAGAACUUCUUAUCUCUUCAAUAUCAUUUAGUACUGCAGCACACUGGGUGGGUUGGAGUACAGAAAGGCAUUUUAUCUAUUUAAAGAUACCCUGUGAAAUGUUUUUUGUUAUGUCUACAUUCACUGUUUCCCACCUAAAUGCAUUGUGGGUAUCCUUGAGGCCUAAUAAACGUGUUAA